rnacentral:rRNA from 1 species
UACGGAGGGUGCGAGCGUUGUCCGGAUUUAUUGGGUUUAAAGGGUGCGUAGGUGGGUUAAUAAGUCAGUGGUGAAAUACGGUUGCUCAACAAUCGAGGUGCCAUUGAUACUGUUAAUCUUGAAACAAGUGGAGGUUGCCGGAAUGGAUGGUGUAGCGGUGAAAUGCAUAGAUAUCAUCCAGAACACCGAUUGCGAAGGCAGCUUGCUAAACAAUUAUUGACGCUGAGGCACGAAAGCGUGGGGAUCAAACAGG